GAUGAACGCUGGCGGCGUGCCUAAUACAUGCAAGUCGAGCGAACGGACGAGAAGCUUGCUUCUCUGAUGUUAGCGGCGGACGGGUGAGUAACACGUGGAUAACCUACCUAUAAGACUGGGAUAACUUCGGGAAACCGGAGCUAAUACCGGAUGAUAUUUUGAACCGCAUGGUUCAAAAGUGAAAGACGGUCUUGCUGUCACUUAUAGAUGGAUCCGCGCUGCAUUAGCUAGUUGGUAAGGUAACGGUUUACCAAGGCAACGAUGCAUAGCCGACCUGAGAGGGUGAUCGGCCACACAGGAACUGAGACACGGUCCAGACUCCUACGGGAGGCAGCAGUAGGGAAUCUUCCGCAAUGGGCGAAAGACUGACGGAGCAACGCCGCGUGAGUGAUGAAGGUCUUCGGAUCGUAAAACUCUGUUAUUAGGGAAGAACAUAUGUGUAAGUAACUGUGCACAUCUUGACGGUACCUAAUCAGAAAGCCGCGGCUAACUACGUG
rnacentral:rRNA from 1 species